UCUUCAGAAGUGUUCUUUAGGAGCUACCUGACAGAAGACUAGUGUCGGAGCAUUGACGUUUUUGGAGAGUCUGUAAUUCUGCCCCUGCCUGCUGGAGCCGUUGGAUUAUUUCUGGUGACUGUAAGGAGUUUUGUUUCCUCCCCAGGAUUUCGCCUUGUCUGGUUUGUUUCCGUCUGGAGGUUUUGGCAAUAAACAGUACCAAAUCGAGUGCACUACCUGUGUGUGUUUCCGUCACCUGCACGUCCUGGCUCCGUGUCCCCAUUCAUAUGCUAUUGUACAUACUUUGUCCUUGUAAAACCUCCCCAUCACUGUAAAUAAACUGUCUUCACCGCAACUCUGCCUCCGUGCGUUCUGCUCCCUGGGUCCAUCUGCAUUUGCCAUAACA